CAGAUGAGUAGGUUUCAUUUCUGCUCUCAAGUUGUGCGAGGUGGGAGAUGUGAGAGGAGAAGGCGGAUGGAAUCAUCUUUCAUCUUUCAUAAAGCUACUGUCAUUUCUACAGGGCACUACUGGGAUCGUAAAAACGGCAAUUAGAAAUGUUGAUCUGAACGCCAGCCCUGUGCAAUUUGAGAUAAAAAUACAGAUCCUUUAAAAGCAGUUCACGGGUGCUGAUGAGAACCAGUAGUCUGUGUUCACAAGGAGCCAUGAAAGAAAUAGGAAUGGGCAGUUGUAUUCUCUACAGUGAUUUUUUGUUCAUCAGAAGGUGAUCUGGAAAUCAAGAUAUUGCACCUUAGCUGAAGGUAGCUAAAAUCUCAGAAUUGUAGAAUCAUAGAACGGCUUGAAUUGGAAAGGACUUCAGAGCCCACCCAGCCCUGUGCCGUGGGCAGGUUGCCCCCCCCACCAGAUCAGGCUGCCCCGGGCACCAUCCAACCUGGCUUUGAGUGCCUCCAGGGAUGAGACGUCUACAGCUCUCUGGGCAGC